rnacentral:rRNA from 1 species
UAAUACGUAGGGUGCGAGCGUUAAUCGGAAUUACUGGGCGUAAAGCGUGCGCAGGCGGUUUUGUAAGUCAGAUGUGAAAUCCCCGGGCUUAACCUGGGAACUGCGUUUGAAACUACAAGGCUAGAGUGUGGCAGAGGGGGGUGGAAUUCCACGUGUAGCAGUGAAAUGCGUAGAGAUGUGGAGGAACACCGAUGGCGAAGGCAGCCCCCUGGGUUAACACUGACGCUCAGGCACGAAAGCGUGGGGAGCAAACAGGAUUAGAUACCCUGGUAGUCCACGCCCUAAACGAUGUCAACUAGUUGUCGGGUCUUAACGGACUUGGUAACGCAGCUAACGCGUGAAGUUGACCGCCUGGGGAGUACGGUCGCAAGA